rnacentral:rRNA from 1 species
GACGAACGCUGGCGGCGUGCUUAACACAUGCAAGUCGAACGGAAAGGCCCUGCUUUUGUGGGGUGCUCGAGUGGCGAACGGGUGAGUAACACGUGAGUAACCUGCCCUUGACUUUGGGAUAACUUCAGGAAACAGGGGCUAAUACCCGAUAGGAGCUCCUGCUGCGUGGUGGGGGUUGGAAAGUUUCGGCGGUUGGGGAUGGACUCGCGGCUUAUCAGCUUGUUGGUGGGGUAGUGGCUUACCAAGGCUUUGACGGGUAGCCGGCCUGAGAGGGUGACCGGCCACAUUGGGACUGAGAUACGGCCCAGACUCCUACGGGAGGCAGCAGUGGGGAAUAUUGCACAAUGGGCGGAAGCCUGAUGCAGCAACGCCGCGUGCGGGAUGACGGCCUUCGGGUUGUAAACCGCUUUCGCCUGUGACGAAGCGUGAGUGACGGUAAUGGGUAAAGAAGCACCGGCUAACUACGUG